UACGGAGGAUGCAAGCGCUGUUCGGAAUCACUGGGCGUAAAGGGCGCGUAGGCGGUUUGAUAAGUCAGAUGUGAAAGCCCACGGCUUAACCGUGGAAGUGCAUUUGAAACUGUCAGACUUGAGUAUCAGAGGGGAAAGUGGAAUUCCCGGUGUAGAGGUGAAAUUCGUAGAUAUCGGGAGGAAUACGGGUGGCGAAGGCGACUUUCUGGCUGAAUACUGACGCUGAGGCGCGAAAGCGUGGGGAGCAAACAGG
rnacentral:rRNA from 1 species